rnacentral:rRNA from 1 species
GAUGAACGCUGGCGGCGUGCCUAAUACAUGCAAGUCGAACGCAUUGAGAGAAGUGCUUGCACUUUUCAAUUUGAGUGGCGAACGGGUGAGUAACACGUGGGCAACCUACCUGAUAGCGGGGGAUAACGAGUGGAAACAUUCGCUAAUACCGCAUAACAAUAGAGAAGGCAUCUUCUUUAUUUAAAAGGCGCUUUCAAGCGUCACUAUCAGAUGGGCCCGCGGUGCAUUAGUUAGUUGGUGGGGGGAAGGCCUACCAAGACGAUGAUGCAUAGCCGAGUUGAGAGACGGAUCGGCCACAUUGGGACUGAGACACGGCCCAAACUCCUACGGGAGGCUGCAGUAGGGAAUCUUCCACAAUGGACGAAAGUCUGAUGAAGCAACGCCGCGUGUGUGAUGAAGGCUUUCGGGUCGUAAAGCACUGUUGUAUGGGAAGAAAUGCUAGGCUAGGAAAUGAGCUUAGUUUGACGGUACCAUACCAGAAAGGGACGGCUAAAUACGUGCCAGCCGCCGCGGUAA